AUCGCUUCUCGGCCUUUUGGCUAAAAUCAAGUGUAGUAUGUUCUUAUCAGUGUUAUCUGUUGCUUAAAAACUUCAUCAAGGAUUUCAU
ensembl:snRNA U2 U2 spliceosomal RNA